rnacentral:rRNA from 1 species
UACGUAGGGGGCUAGCGUUGUCCGGAAUCAUUGGGCGUAAAGAGCGUGUAGGCGGUCCGGUAAGUCCGUUGUGAAAGUCAGGGGCUCAACCCUUGAAUGCCGGCGGAUACUGUCGGGCUAGAGUCCGGAAGAGGCAAGUGGAAUUCCCGGUGUAGCGGGUGAAAUGCGCAGAUAUCGGGAGGAACACCUAUGGCGAAGGCAGCUUGCUGGGACGGUACUGACGCUGAGACGCGAAAGCGUGGGGAGCGAACAGG